GUUAAAAUUUAAAUAAUAAAGUUUAUAAAGUGUCAAAUAAACGAUGGUUGCAAAAUGUGUUAAAAAACUUAUGUUAGUAAUGAUGGAAUUACUUAUCCUUAUUUUCCUAAGUGUGCAAGCCGGUGAUUGUGCCCCUAUCUCAUUCUAUCUGUCUCCACCUCCCAUGCUGCCUCCAUAUUCCUUUAAACUUGAUUAUUAUGGACCACUACAACAAUGCCUUGAACUUGGAAUUGAAUCUCAUUGUGCAAGUAUUAAAAGCACAUGGCCAUUUCCAGACUUUGAAUAUGAAAUUUGUAUUUCCGCUACUUUUUACCACUGUUUAGCUAAUAAUAUACAUGAAGUCCCAAGUGUGAUUUCUAUCAUUAAAAAUUGUAUCAAAACCAAUUGCCACCCAAAAUUGAAAAUUAAAGCUAGUCAUCGUAGAAGUGCCAAUUAUGUGAGUUGUUUAUUAGAAUGUUAUGAAAAGCAUUUCAUGAAACCUUUAGAUGUCAUUUAUGCGCAAAAGCCUUGAGUUCUAGCUUUUGAUCAGCUGUUUUUUAGGAAGUUUCCAGAUCCUGUAACGACAGCGUCCUUCUUGCCUUCACUGUUGGAUUCUUCUCUGAUAGAACGUUAAGAUGGUAGCUUGCUCAAGCAUCUGAAUUACAACUGGUACCGAUGUGAUUUUUCCAGAGCAUGGUUGUUGCUGUUGUCCUUGAAGACAAAAGUUUGCCGUGUAUUACUGCCGAGUGGGGCGGCCCUUCUCUUGGCUCUGUGCCAAUUUUCAAUCGGAUUGUAUCGCUUGUUCUUAGGUAGUUUGUUGUGUUACUAGCCAAUUCUUAUGCUGAAAGGUUGAUGUAUCAUGCAUAUGGAUUAGUCGAUCUCCCCCUUCCUUUUGUUCUCCUGUAUUGCUUAGAAAAAAAAAAGGAAUUAUUUUGUUUAUUCCUUUCCUUUUUCCUAUCUUAUUUUUGAAAGAAGGAUAUUCAUUGUAUUAGACAAUGUAUGAAUUAAUCCAAUAAACCUAGUAUUUUUCAUU